UACGUAGGGUGCGAGCGUUAAUCGGAAUUACUGGGCGUAAAGCGUGCGCAGGCGGUCAUGCAAGACAGAUGUGAAAUCCCUGGGCUCAACCUGGGAACUGCAUAUGUGACUGUAUGGCUGGAGUACGGCAGAGGGGGAUGGAAUUCCGCGUGUAGCAGUGAAAUGCGUAGAUAUGCGGAGGAACACCGAUGGCGAAGGCAAUCCCCUGGGCCUGUACUGACGCUCAAGCACGAAAGCGUGGGGAGCAAACAGGAUUAGAUACCCUGGUAGUCCACGCCCUAAACGAUGUCAACUGGUUGUUGGGUCUUGACUGACUCAGUAACGAAGCUAACGCGUGAAGUUGACCGCCUGGGGAGUACGGCCGCAAGGUUGAA
rnacentral:rRNA from 1 species